rnacentral:rRNA from 1 species
AAGGUAAGGAAGGCGGCGGUGGACUGGUUGAGUGAAGAGAGAGCCCUAGGAGGGUCUAGACUAGGUGGGUCGUGGCGAGGAGGAGCUCGGUUAGGGGAGCGAGCUAGGUCGUCGGUAGAUUUGGAAGGGGAAGGAGUGGAACGACGGUCGGAGACGGGCUCGGGGACAGGUCCUCGAGCGCGGGCUUAGUCCCCUCUCCUCGAGGGACGGUGGCAACUGGUGGUCCGGUCGGGGAGCGCCGGGAGAGGAAGACAAGGGAGAAGGGACGUAGAGAGAGAGGGAUUAGAGGAGUAGAGAGACAUGGAGAUGUCCUCGAGGUCGCGGUACCGGUAGGGCUCAAGCCGGGCGCGUCGAGCCUCUGAGGUUCGGGGGAGCCAGGUCGUCAGGUCCCCCUACGGCGGCACGGGCACGACGUAGGGCGCUUGGGCGACCGCUGGGGCUGGAAGUCUCCUGUACGCGGCGGAGAAAGUCGCGGCAGGUACCGGAACAGAAGCCGGUCAAACUCAGCGGGGGCUGGAGGUGGAGCAGCGAGUGCGGUAGCGGAGGGCGCGGGCCUGCAGCAAAAAGAGCACGAAGGGGCGGAGGACACAGGAGGCCGGCAGGCUCGAGGCCGCUCGGUGGGCGUCCGGCACGAGGAGCGGAACGGAGCAGAGGUUGGUGGUGCCUGACGGCACGGUGGGGAGGCGUUGUUCGAGGCGGCGGCGCGGUAGAAGUCCGCGAGCUCGUGCUCGAGCGGGCGCGGAGCAGAAGGAGGAGCGGCGCGACCAGGUCCUCCGCGCGGCGGGUCGGCGUAGCGGGACAACGGCGCGGACGAAGCGAACCUCGGCGGAGGUGAAACAAAACCGUCUCUUGCCUUGGGGCUGCGGGAGGUGGCGGACCUAGGUACGGCGGGGCCGGAGGUAGCGCGGUAGCGGCCUCAGGGUUCGACGUGCUUCGGUAGCGAGGUAGGAGACGAAGUUCCUCUGCUCGCGGAGCGGGCGCGCAACUGGGGCAGGAGCUGGUCGCGGUUCAGGUCUAGCUAGGGGACGAAGGGACGUAGCUUCCUUGGUCCGCGCAAUUGACGCUGAGCCGGCUGGAGCGGAUCCGGGUGGAGCGGAGCGGCAAACGUCGAGGGUGGAGAUGUGGCUUGCCGGGUUCCGGUAAAUAAGGCUAUUACAACGCAAGCACUCCUAAGCAAGCUGAUACAACCAAGCAGAUGAAGUACCUGAGCAAGAAGGAGGAACGCCCUAAAGUCAACGUCCAUGUCCAAAUACGCUACUAGUACUGCGCUCUCGCUACGAAUGAACAAAACCCUCACGAAGAAGACGAAGAAGAAGCUAGUCCCCUAUCCAAGGUCCAGCCGUCGGACCCGAUCGUCCCACCUACAGCAAACUCAAAGACAAACACUAAGUAGGCAUCUGCCUACUACGAGAAUACAUAACACUACUACAUAAGCACACCGUAACAUACGGAAAACAUACAUAGGGGUAGUUAAUACAUGACAACUACAUUACUAUAGGUGGAACGUUUUCGCAAAGUUAUACGCCCAGAUAGGUAACCACCCUGGAAACUCAAGGAAAACCUAUCCCAGCGUAUAACCCACACUGUUCAACCAUAGUCUCGGAGCUGGCUGGUAUCCUCGGGGGAACUAACAACCGGCAACAACUCAGAUCUUCUUUUGAUAAAACUCAGAAUCCUAAUAUAUAUAACCUCUCAUCCUAAGAAAAAUGAGGAGUCGGGGAAGCAGUGAGACCACUCCAGAGGACAGAUAAUACACCGUAACUUGGCCCCUCAACUCGAGGCUCCACAACAGAAGUGUUAAAAUAGCAACGUUAAGACC